GUUGGAUUAUUGUCUAAGUCCAUAACUAUUUUGGUAUGUACUUGACCCGAUGGUGCAUGGUCCUUUUGGGUUGCCUUCACCAAAGCAACUUGAUUGGAGAAAUAAAUAAAGAGAGAGAGGUUAUUAUGAUUUAUUAAUAUAUUAUAAGAAUAAUAUAUUGAAGGAGAAAUCAUAUUUGUUUAAUUAAUAUUGGUCAAUAAUUAAUUAAGAAUUAAUUUUGUGAUCAAGUGUAAUUAAUUAAACUAGAGGGGCUGAAUUGUAAUUAUGUGAUAGUUACAAAAUAAGGUAAGAAUUAUCUUAUAUAUAUGGUGGACGAAUUUGAAGUGAUAAUCACUAAGAAUUCGACUAUGAUAAGGAUUCAAUGAUUAUCUUAUGGGUUGCUUGGUGGAUAAGCAACUAGAUAAGGAUAAUGACUGAAACUCUAUCUUUACACCUAUAUAAAGACCCCAAGGCUCAUGAAUUCGUGUACUUGAUCUCUAGAGCAUCUAAGGACGAAUUCCUACCCUUCUCCUCUCUCUUUAUACCUUCUCCACUUGAUUAUGGUGUUUGUAAGCCAUUAGAGGAGUGACACUUGUGACUCUCAGCUUUCCAAAGUCAAUUCAAGGAGGAAUUGGAUUGUUAUUGCUAUAUAACAAUCAAGGUAUGUUCUUAAACCUAUUUACAUGUGAAUUCUGAUUUCCAUAUGCUAGAAUUAGGGUUCAAAGUCUUGGAUUCAAAGUAUGUACAAUAGAGAAACCUAGAUCCGAGCUUUAGGGUUUGUAUGAGCACAUAGGAUGUCUUAUGACCAAAACCCAUCAGUGGUAUCAGAGCCUAGACUGGUUUCAAUUGUAUUGAUGCAUUGUAUAUCUGAAAAAUUCGAUUUUUGGUGUUCUGGAGGCUGGACUCGCCGAGUCCAUAGCUGAACUCGCCGAGUCCAUGCAGACUCGACGAGUCCAAGCUUGACUCGACGAGUCAACUCGUCAGAUGGAGCAUAUCUCGGGAUUUCUUGCUGUUUUUGCUUAUGGAUAGUUACCUUAUCAUAUUAGAUCAAUAUAAAUCCGAUUUUAUGAUAUAUUUGACUAUAUUCUUGAUCUAAUUGAAGAUAUUUAUCAAUUAAUAAAAUAUUUGUUUCCUUAUGUGAUAAUUGAUUAAUUAUUUUGAUUAAAUUGAUAAAUUGUUUUGCAAGAAAUCAUUAAAUAAAUCAAAUAUGGAUAAUUAUGUGAUUAAAUGUUAAUUUAGAUUAUUUGUUAUUUGAUCCUUGUUGUUAUGAAAAGUUUCAUAUUUUCCCCUUUAGGUUUUAUAGUUUAAAUUUGAACCCAAAAGUUUUGUUGUUUUGAAAUUUAAAUAGUUGAAACCCUAAUGUUUUGAAAAAGGUUUCAAAACUUGCCCUCAAGUUUUGGAAUUUAAAUUUUGAUUAAAUAGUUUAAUUUUGAUGUAUAUUUAAAUUCUAAACCCUAAUGUGUUGAAAUGUUUCAAAACUUGCCCUCAAGUUUUGGAAUUUAAAAGUUGAUUAAAAGUUUAAUUAGGAAUGUUAAAUUCUAAAACUCUAGUAUUGUUUUGAAAAAGUUCAAAUCACACCCUUAUGGUUUUAUUAAUUAAUUAAGGUGUAUAAUUAAAAGAGGUUUAAUAAAUCCAUAAAAGUUUUGGUUUACAAUUUAAUUGAAUUAAAAGUAUAAUUGUUAAAUUUGACCACCUAGUAUUUUAAAAGUGUAAAAUACACCCUAUACUAUAUAUAACAUUAAAAGUCUAACAUUAUAUAUAUGUAUGAGUAAAAGUCAGUCUUACCGUUAGUAGGCCUCAUUCACGAAGCUGGUCUAUAAGGGGUGUUUAAGGAAAUUGCCUAUAAAAUGGCGAUUGAAUGGGUAUCCACUCUUACCCACCGCACUCUUGACUAGUGGAGGGUCGUUAGCCGAACGGGUAGGAUAGGACGAAACCUUCCAUUAUAAGUAUAAUGAAUUAUAAAAGUAACUAAAUGUUUUCAUAAAAUUCCCAAUCUUAGUUACUUAGGCAAAAGUGAAUUGAUGCAAUUCCAUGAAAUUACACUUUGUGCCCUUGCGAAGACGUUAGUGGAGCGUGUGUGGUUUACCGGCACACUAAAUGGUUCUAAGCAAAGGUAGCAAAGGGUGACUCAAUGUUUGUCAUAGUUCGGUGGAGCGUGUGUGGUUUACCGGCACAUCGAAUAGGUGACUGUAACAUGUGAGGGCACCAUGUAAGUUUGCAUGGUUAUUCACACCCGCUUUGUGAUCCUCGGCAUCCCAGUCACAAACUAGAGGGGCAUAUCGAGAUUUAAACAUGCCAUUGAAAUGUUCAAUGAAUCUCAAAGGAUCUAGGAGUUUUCAUAGAUUUAAAACUUAAAUUUCUUUUUCGUUUUUCAUGGUGGAAAUUAGUGAAUCGUCAUUCACUUACCUUCAAAUGUUCUGCAAUUUGGGUUACGGCAUCCCUCUCCCGAGUUGUAGAAUAUUGUGUUGGGUCCUAGCCUUAGUAUCUCAUUUGGGUGAUUUACUAAGGACUCAAUCAAUCAACUAACUUGAAUUCGUUUUCUCCCGUUUUGUAGAUGUCAAAGUUCGACAACUAUGGUCUUCCCAAAUCCCGUGGAACAAGCAUUCCACAUGAAGAUGAUAUUCCACGAUUCGAUCGAGGAACAAGAAAUCAUGCUUCACUUCCUCCACCUCCUCCAAUUAUUCUCCCUAACCCACAAGUUCAAAGGCUUGAAAAGUUCAAGAUCACUCAAGCCCUUUUGGCAAGUAAACAUAAAGAAGGAAAGUCGGUGUGUGCACACGUCCUAGGGAUGAAGUCACACAUUGAUAGGUUAAGAAUGUUGGGAUCCGUUGUCUGUGAGGAAAUGGCUGUUGAUUGGGUUCUUCAGUCACUUCCUAACUCAUAUAGUGAGUUCGUAAGAGAGUACUAUAUGAUGAACUGCGACGUGACCCUUAUAGAUCUCACCUAUAUGCUUAUUGCUGCUGAAUCAGCAAUGGUUUGGCGCAAUAGAAAAGCAAAGUUGAUUGGUGAAUCUGCCUUCAAGACCUCUAUGGAUAUAGACAAUGGCAACGAAAGACAUGCUAUGAUCGAAAAGUUUGAUCAUAAGAGAAAGACAAUGUCUGAAGUAGUUCCAUGUCAUGUUCCAAAAGAGUCAAUUUGCUUUUAUUGCCAAGAGAAAGGGCAUUGGAGACGAAGCUGCCCCAUUUACCUAAGAGAUCUAAGAGAUGGGAGAGUCGAAACGUAUGGCUCUAAUAUAGGUAAAAUCCAUUAACUAACUCUUUUAAGCUUCUAUUCUAGAUUCUUAAUACAUAAUGUGAUAAGAUUACAAUUGAUGUUUUGUAGGAUCGAAGAAAAGAAAGGAAGCUUAAGGGAAGAAGUGAGCAGAAUCUAACCGUGAAGGAAUGGAUUUCGAUCGCAUUUCUCAAAGAUUAGAUUCUUGAGCUACUACUUAGAGUUAGAAUUAGAUUGCUAAGAAAGAUGUAUUAGCAUAAGUUUUUCAAUGAGUUGCAUUGUAAGGACAAAUUUUUCCGCAAUAAAAUAAAUUUUGAUUUUAAAUUUUAUUUAUUUAUCCUUACAAUGGCGUGUAUGAAAAAUUGAUGUUAAAAUGUUUCUAUUAUUAGCAAUAAUGGAUUUGGUUCUUAUUAUGUUAUUUAUGGAAAGUCGAGAAUUUACCAAAUAGGGAGAGUUUCUCAUCGCCCAAGUUUCAAUUGGACAGAAACUUGGAAUCAUGCAACUUGGUUGCACGAUGAAUGAGAAAUUUCAUAUUUGGAAAUUAGACUAAUUCAUUGACAAAGUGUCAAGUGAAGGACUAGGAGAUCGAGUACACAAAGUUGCGUGUUGAUCAAGUCCACCAUAAGAGUAACAAAGAUAUUCGUCAUGAUUUACUAAAGGUUUAGUAAAUAUGAUUAUACUUAUAAGAUUAAGUGUAAUUCUGAAUUGAUUGAAAAGGUUUAAAUCAAUAGCAGAACGAAUAAGAAGAAUCAAGUAGGCAGAAAGAUAAAAGUUUCUCCAUUCUAAGAAGAAGGGAGAGUACCUUUUAUGCUUUAUGAUAGGUCUUAAUGAUUAAGAACCAUAUCUCAAUUGAUCCUCUAAGUGAGUCUUAGUACAAUUGUAUGUCUAAGAAGAGGAAUCAAGAAUUGAAGAAAUGGUUAAAUCAAUAAGUCAAUCAUACUUCGUUCCAAUAACAAGUCUUAAAGUUAAGAUUGUGACAUUGAGUGAAAGGUAUUAAGAAGGUUUGUAACUUUCAUUAAAUGUGGAAAGUUGUGAUGUCUUGGAUAAGACAAAGACCAACUAGGACCAAUUUAUGAAGUGUUUUGAUAAAAGCUACACUAACUCUUGAAUAUUUGUUUGUCAAGAAAUGUUUUUUGACAAGAGAAUCUUAUAUGUCAAGGAGUCAGUGGGAGUCUUAAUGGUCUUGAAAGGUUUCAAGAACAAAUCAAAUAAACCUUAUCGAUCAUCACUAGCACACGAGUUGAGGUUUACAACCUAUCGUGUUGACAUUAUUUUGAUUCUGUGCCAAUCCAAUCGAGUUAAUUAUGCAUGUGAGUUCUAUGAGUUCUCAUUUUGAACGCAUAAAAGGCAAAGCACCUUAAUCAAUGAAAGGUACAUUGAUAGGAAAGGGUGAGCUGCUUAACUACUUGGAAGACAUGGUGGGCAGCUGUGCUACCAUAAAGGCAAGAAAUCGAGAUCAAGAAAGUUCGAUCCAUAAGAGUUUGAAUUUGUCGUAAACUUUGGUUUUGACAAAUUCACAUGGAUAGGAACAAAUACACCGUUUAAAUCUAAGUGUCAUAAGAUUUCCUCCUUCAUGAAAAUGAUUGUGAGGAAAUGCUUUCACUAAGACAGAUUUUAAGAAGAUAGUGAUUGUAAAAUUGCAUUCUCGAAUUCAAUUAUGGUUACGGCAUCCCUUUCCAUAAUUUGAAUUGUGAGGUUUGGCAAUUAGUCUUAAUUGUUUAGACACACAUAUGAACUAUCGAAGGCAAAUGUGUAUAAGUUCAAGAAACCUUGAUAAAAGAUUAUCAAAGCACUAAGUAUUAGAAACAUGAACUUAAGAAAUUCAAUAAGCAUUUUUUUUCUGAAAGUUAAGAUGUUUAUGAAUACAUGUCGAAGCUAGUGGGAGCAUAAGUGUUAUGUUUUAUAAUAAUCAUCAAGAUAGUGGGAGCAUAAAAGUUAUGAUUGUAUGAUUAUUAAGGAAAGUAUUGCAAGGUUAGCAAUAUUAAUUAUAGAAAACAAGAGUCAUACUUUGCAAAGUCGCAAUAGUUGAAGAGUUGUUUUGCUAUAAUUAAGGGAGAGAAUAUUAUGCUUCAUUUCAAAUCUAAAGGUUUAGGUUGAGAAAUGUUAAUAAAAUUUAGUCAAAGGUACAAAGUGUGUUCUUAAAAUUUCGAUUAUGAUUACGGCAUCCCUCUUCACAAUUCGAAUUUUGAGAACAUAGCAAAUAAAACAUUAUGCGUCGUGUCCCAUACGCUUCGGGUAUAGGAUCGAUUGCAAAUGCUUUAAUGUUUGACCAUUCUAAAAUUUUCCAAAUGUCGAGCGCAUUUAGAGGGAAAAGGGACUAGAAUUGGUUUUGACUAAAACAAUUAAACAACUAUCAAAGGACAAUCCAAAGUUCGACGAGGAUUGGUCGCUUGUGAGUAGUUGGAAGUAUAGUAUUGGAAAAUAUGGAAAUGUUUCCAUAUUGGAUGGACCAUAUCGACAUCAUUACGAAUAGAUAAGAUUCUAUUAAGAAUGAGUUGUCAUAUGGAACAUAUGGAAGUGUGUCCAUAUUGGGAAUUGAAUAUUGAGAAAUCUAUGACUAGAUUAGAAACUUCUAUGCAAAAGGAUGUUCAAAGAAUGUACUUUGAGUGAGAGACAUCACAUCUAUGGAAUUGUCUUGUAACAAUCUCCGAUAGAGGACUUUGUAAUAUCAUUGGCAAUAGUCUUUGUGACUUUGGUGCAGUGACAUUACGAAAGGAUAAGUUGCAUAGAAUGUUAGAAUCUAGCAUAUUCUAUAAGUAGCAAGAAUUUGAUAUUCUUUCACUUAGAAAAAGGAUUUGGAGUUGUGAAAUGAGAAUGAUUGGAAAUGUGUUCAAUGUGAUCUAUUUCACAAAGUAAGAACCAUAGGUAAACAUUGUGUGCAUGCUAGGAGCAUGGGACAAGUGUUGUAAUUCAAGUAAGAAGUUGAUUACCCGAAACGACAAAUAAUGAGUAAUCAAUAUGGUGAUAAAUAAAAGGUGUUUUAUUUAUACUCAAAGGUUUGAGGCCAUAUGGGAUUAGUAUUAUUCUUGUGUUUCACAUUUGCAUGUUUUGACUUCCAGAAUAAUUGAGUUUAUUAAGAAUAAUCGAAUUAUUCAAACGGGCCACAGUCGUUCAUAUGUUGGAAGUAGAUAUGAAUGAAGACUGUCGUGAAUUGGUGUGUGGAUUGUCUAAAAGAGUAUUAGACAUAAGCAAAUGUUUGCUGCAACGUUCAUGAGUGCUUAUGAAUAUGAUUUGAGCAUUGGAUUAAACCCACGCUCACUUGGAUCACUCCAUGAAUUGUAUCACGAGUGAUUGGUGAGACGAUAACAUCUUAUAUUCUUGAAACCGAGAUGUGUGAGUUGUAUCUUGCAAAUCGGUUGCACAUUGAUAAUAUGUAAACGCACCAGUAACUUGGUGUUAUAAAACAUAUUGUUGUGUGUGAUUCGGUGCGUGAGUGCAAGCAAGCAUUGUAUCAAAGUUUAUCCGUUCCUUUUAUUCAAAGUAGGAUAAAAGCGAUAUCUUUGGGCCCCUCGAUGGUUUAGUGAUGACAAACGUAAAUGCUCGGCCGGGCUAGGGCUAAUUUGAUUUGUUCAAUUAGUCAGUCGUCAUAAAUCGGAAAUCGAGAUAUAGUACAAAGAGAAUGAUUUGAAAUCAUAUCUCAUAUGAUAUCUAGAAUGGAGGAAUAUAUGAUCCCUUAUCUAAGGACACGCGUAUUUGAUAUGAUCAGAGUUGACAGCGGCUUUGGAAAGCUACGAUUGCAGAUCGGGAUCCGAAGUCAUACGCAGAAUAGUUGUUAGACUUAUCCAAGUGGGAGACUGUUGGAUUAGUGUCUAAGUCCAUAACUAUUUUGGUAUGUACUUGACCCGAUGGUGCAUGGUCCUUUUGGGUUGCCUUCACCAAAGCAACUUGAUUGGAGAAAUAAAUAGAGAGAGAGGUUAUUAUGAUUUAUUAAUAUGUUAUAAGAAUAAUAUAUUAAAGGAGAAAUCAUAUUUGUUUAAUUAAUAUUGGUCAAUAAUUAAUUAAGAAUUAAUUUUGUGAUCAAGUGUAAUUAAUUAAACUAGAGGGGCUGAAUUGUAAUUAUGUGAUAGUUACAAAAUAAGGUAAGAAUUAUCUUAUAUAUAUGGUGGACGAAUUUGAAGUGAUAAUCACUUAGAAUUCGACUAUGAUAAGGAUUCAAGGAUUAUCUUAUGGGUUGCUUGGUGGAUAAGCAACUAGAUAAGGAUAAUGACUGAAACUCUAUCUUUACACCUAUAUAAAGACCCCAAGGCUCAUGAAUUCGUGUACUUGAUCCCUAGAGCAUCUAAGGACGAAUUCCUACCUUUCUCCUCUCUCUUUAUACCUUCUCCACUUGCUUAUGGUGUUUGUAAGCCAUUAGAGGAGUGACACUUGUGACUCUCAGCUUUCCAAGGUCAAUUCAAGGAGGAAUUGGAUUGUUAUUGCUAUAUAACAAUUAAGGUAUGUUCUUAAACCUAUUUACAUGUGAAUUCUGAUUUCCAUAUGCUAGAAUUAGGGUUCAAAGUCUUGGAUUCAAAGUAU
rnacentral:lncRNA from 1 species